rnacentral:lncRNA from 10 species
ACAAAAUGUUCAGUAUAAGAAAUUACUUUUAAUAAUUACGUCAAAACAUGCAGUAGGUGGACUUUUGAGCUAACCCUGGAGAAGGAGCUGGAUUUCACCAGUUAGCCUCCUAUGGAUCUGCUACCAUCAUCACCCUCCCACCCCACCUCCACUGCCUUUUUUCCCAAGACUUUUAAAAAAAUGUUUUAUUGCCCAGGCACAGCACUUUGGGAGGCUGAGGCGGGCGUGAGAUUGGGAGUUUGAGACCAGCCUGACCAACAUGGAGAAACCGCAUCUCUACUAAAAAUACAAAAUUAGCCUGGCGUGGUGGCGCAUGCCUGUAAUCCCAGCUACUCUGGAGGCUGAGGCAGGAGAACCGCUUGAAUCCGGGAGGCGAAGGUCACGAGUGGUAUUCAGUUAAGAGAACAAUUAUUUCGUAUAAGCCACAUCAGAGACGACUGAAGAUGAAAAAACUACCAUCCCCGUAUAUAACUAAUUUGUGCUGUGCACCAACAAGAACCUGCUUUAAAUUUCCAUGGCAAUUUACAACCCCCAUACUGUACCAGGCAAGGUUAG